AAUUAGUUAUAUGACUGACGGAAGUGGAGUAAACCACAUGAAGUAUAACAAUAAUAAGCCGACCGUCUGGGCAAAAGUC
rnacentral:ncRNA from 2 species